GAUAUAUUUUGCAUAAACUACACGCAUUUGGCUUUAUUUUUAUGUAAAUUUAAAGACUUGUUACCGUGGUAACCAAGUAAUUGCUACGUGACAGGCACAUCACGGAUGUCACGAUUUGUCAUCAUAUUUCUAGCUUGCGUUUCCAGUCCCUGUCUUCUGGAUUGUCUAUGGUGAAAUGCAGGGCUCUCAGGUUUUUAUUAAAGAAGAGAAGAUACAGACGUAACAUGAGUACACAGACUGGGGUCUAAACUGCAGGUUGAAGCAAGUUGACAGAGGGGUUGAUGACAAAAUCAAGAUGAUUUUUAGUUAUUUUAUGUCGUUUUAAACAAUAAAAUCAUAAUUGUUGAAGGGAUUUGAAAUUUCUAGUGGAAUUUUUUAUACAUUUUAUUCCACUCGAAAUUUCCAUGUACAAAUCUCUUGAACAAUUAGUUUUAUAAUAUAGCAUUUGUAAAUUCUGAAUGCUGAUUGGCUAAGAGCCGUGUUCAUAUAACUCAUUGUUUUUUUGUGCUAUAUUAUAAAACAAAUAUUUUUUUUCCGUAUUGAUAUACAGUUAUAUCAACACUCGUGGAAAUUGGGAAAACUCGAAAUUGUGUGAAAACACUCCGCCCUUUGGACGUCGUGUUUUCACACAAUUUUGAGUAUUCCCAAUUUCCACUCGUGUUGAUAUAACUGUAUUAUCAACACGGAAAAUGUUUUAUAUUAGUGAGAUGUCCAAAAUUCCUCUCCAAAACUCGACCAUCAAUCUGCACUAACCUAAAACCUGCAGUUUAGAUCGAGCCUCUGCAUUACUAAGACUUCAUAGCUACAUCAUAGAUAAGAGACGUUGAAUAGAGAGCGACAUCCAUUAGAUACCUGGGCAUUUAUUAAAUAGUUUACGGUAUGUAUACUGUAUAAAUUUUGCAACAGUGAGGGAAAAUAUUUAUAUUGCCGCUAAUAGUGUAGUCUACUAAUAGUGAGUCAAAUGGCUCUACAAUUAUUGGGUACUAUACGUAGAUAUAUAUACUGCGAAGUAUUAAUGUCGAAAUGUAAUGGCUUUCUUUGAAAAGCCGGACUCUAUAGAAUUCCUUUUAGAAUAUUCAAAACCAUUCAAAUAUUCGAAAAGUACCGGUCCAAAAACAUCUAAAAAAGAAAAUAAAGUGGAGAUACUAACACUAACUUUCACAUUAUAUCGAAAUUAUUGUAUAAUAAAAAUUAAUAACCAUGACGGCAUGAGCAUAACGCACGCAUAAACGCCAUAUAUAGAAAUGAAUAAAG